AGUGAACGCUGGCGGUAGGCCUAACACAUGCAAGUCGAACGGCAGCACAGGAGAGCUUGCUCUCUGGGUGGCGAGUGGCGGACGGGUGAGGAAUACAUCGGAAUCUACUCUGUCGUGGGGGAUAACGUAGGGAAACUUACGCUAAUACCGCAUACGACCUACGGGUGAAAGCAGGGGACCUUCGGGCCUUGCGCGAUUGAAUGAGCCGAUGUCGGAUUAGCGAGUUGGCGGGGUAAAGGCCCACCAAGGCGACGAUCCGUAGCUGGUCUGAGAGGAUGAUCAGCCACACUGGAACUGAGACACGGUCCAGGCUCCUACGGGAGGCAGCAGUGGGGAAUAUUGGACAAUGGGCGCAAGCCUGAUCCAGCCAUACCGCGUGGGUGAAGAGGGCCUUCGGGUUGUAAAGCCCUUUUGUUGGGAAAGAAAUCCAGCUGGCUAAUACCCGGUUGGGAUGACGGUACCCAAAGAAUAAGCACCGGCUAACUUCGUGCCAGCCGCCGCCGUAA
rnacentral:rRNA from 1 species